rnacentral:rRNA from 1 species
AUUGAACGCUGGCGGCAUGCUUUACACAUGCAAGUCGAACGAGUGGCGAAGGGGUGAGUAAUAUAUCGGAACGUACCGAGUGAUGGGGGAUACCAAAUCGAAAGAUAGGCUAAUACCGCAAACAACUCGAGCGGCCGGUAACUGAUUAGCUAGAUGGUGGGGUAAAGGCCUACCAAGGCGACGAUCAGUAGCGGGUCUGAGAGGACGAGCCGCCACACUGGAACUGAGACACGGCCCAGACUCCUACGGGAGGCAGCAGUGGGGAAUUUUGGACAAUGGGGGCAACCCUGAUCCAGCCAUGCCGCGUGUAUGAAGAAGGCCUUCGGGUUGUAAAGUACUUUUGUUAGGGAAGCGUUACCUAAAGAAUAAGCACCGGCUAACUACGUGCCAGCAGCCGCGGUAAUUC